rnacentral:rRNA from 1 species
GAUGAACGCUAGCGGCAGGCCUAACACAUGCAAGUCGAGGGGCAGCACAGAAACAGCAAUGUUUUGGUGGCGACCGGCGGACGGGUGCGUAACGCGUAUGCAACCUACCUUUAACAGGGGGAUAACGGAGAGAAAUUUCCACUAAUACCCCAUAACAUCGAUCAAGGCAUCUUGAUUGGUUGAAAACUCCGGUGGUUAAAGAUGGGCAUGCGUUGUAUUAGGUAGUUGGUGAGGUAAUGGCUCACCAAGCCUACGAUACAUAGGGGGACUGAGAGGUUAGCCCCCCACACUGGGACUGAGACACGGACCAGACUCCUACGGGAGGCAGCAGUGAGGAAUAUUGGUCAAGGGGGGCAACCCUGAACCAGCCAUGCCGCGUGCAGGAAGACGGCUCUAUGAGUUGUAAACUGCUUUUAAACAGGGAUAAAGCACAGUAUGUAUACUGUGUUGAAGGUACUGUAAGAAUAAGGAUCGGCUAACUCCGUGCCAGCCGCCGCAGUAA